rnacentral:rRNA from 1 species
GAUGAACGCUAGCGAUAGGCUUAACACAUGCAAGUCGAGGGGCAGCAUGGUCUUAGCUUGCUAAGACUGAUGGCGACCGGCGCACGGGUGCGUAACGCGUAUGCAACUUGCCUCACAGAGGGGGAUAACCCGUCGAAAGACGGACUAAUACCGCGUACACUCCAUCUUGGGCAUCCAAGGUAGAGGAAAUGAAAUUCGCUGUGAGAUAGGCAUGCGUCCCAUUAGCUAGUUGGUGAGGUAACGGCUCACCAAGGCGACGAUGGGUAGGGGAACUGAGAGGUUGAACCCCCACACUGGUACUGAGACACGGACCAGACUACUACGGGAGGCAGCAGUGAGGAAUAUUGGUCAAUGGGCGAGAGCCUGAACCAGCCAAGUCGCGUGAAGGAUGACUGUCUUAUGGAUUGUAAACUUCUUUUAUACGGGAAUAACAAGAGUCACGUGUGACUCCCUGCAUGGACCGUAUGAAUAAGCAUCGGCUAACUCCGU